rnacentral:rRNA from 1 species
GGAGGAAAGCAGGGGAUCGCAAGACCUUGCGCUUUUGGAGCGGCCGAUGUCUGAUUAGCUAGUUGGUGAGGUAAAGGCUUACCAAGGCGUCGAUCAGUAGCUGGUCUGAGAGGACGACCAGCCACACUGGGACUGAGACACGGCCCAGACUCCUACGGGAGGCAGCAGUGGGGAAUUUUGAACAAUGGGGGAAACCCUGAUCCAGCCAUGCCGCGUGAGUGAAGAAGGCCUUCGGGUUGUAAAGCUCUUUCAGCCGGAACGAAACGGUCACGGCUAAUACCUGUGAUCACUGACGGUACCGGAAGAAGAAGCACCGGCUAACUACGUGCCAGCAGCCGCGGUAAUACGUAGGGUGCAAGCGUUAAUCGGAAUUACUGGGCGUAAAGCGUGCGCAGGCGGUUUUGUAAGUCAGAUGUGAAAUCCCCGGGCUUAACCUGGGAACUGCGUUUGAAACUACAAAGCUAG